CACACCACCACUACACAACACCACACCACACCACACCACACCACACCACACUACACCACCACUGCCACCACACUACACCACACCACGCAACACCACGCAACACCACACCACCACUACACCACACCACACCACACCACACCACACCACACCACACCACACUACACCACCACUGCCACCACACUACACCACACCACCGUACACCACGCAACACCACACCACCACUACACCACACUACACCACACCACACCACACUACACCACACCACACUGCACCACACCACACUUCACCACACCACCACUACACAACACCACACCACACUACACCACACUAACACACUACACCAUGCUACACCACACUACACCACACCACCACUCCACAACACCACACCACACCACACCACCACACUACACCACACCACCACUACACAACACCACACCACACCACACUACACCACACCACACUACACCACCACUGCCACCACACUACACCACACCACACCACACCACACCACCCCACAGCACCACACUACACCACACUACACCACACCACACCACACCACACCACACCACACCACACCACACUAUACCACACCACACUACACCACACUACACUACACCACACUACACCAUACAUACACAACACUACACCACACCACACCACACCAUACAUACACCACACCACACCACACCACACUACACUACACCACACCACACCACACCACACUACACUACACUACACCACACCACACCACACCACACCACACCACACCACACCACACUACACUACACUACACCACACUACACCACACUACACUACACCACACUACACCAUACAUACACCACACUACACUACACCACACCACACUACACCAUACAUACACCACACUACACUACACCACACCACACCACACCACACCACACUACACUACACCACACCACACCACACCACACCACACUAACACACUACACCACAGCACCACUGCCACCCCCCAGUAGAGCUAAACUUCUCAGCUUCGCCUUCUCUCUCUCUCUCUCUCUCUCUCUCUCUCUCUCUCUCUCUCUGUGUCCCUUCUCACCAUCUUCUUUUGCUUCCCCAGAUAGCAGGUUGCCUUGGGAGGGAUCUGGCCA
rnacentral:lncRNA from 1 species